CAAGGGGGGAUUUUUUACCAACUUCAGCCUUGCCUAUAUACCUGUAAGCCAAAAAAAAAAAGCCACUCAGGAUUUCUUUUUCUAAUUUUUAUCAUCACCAACAUAUUUAUGGCAAACACGCAUCUCGCUGCACAGAGAGGCUCAGAGGAGGUGUGACUCCACGAGGACGUGCAGGCAGCAGGAGGGAGGAGGACACGCGCUUCCACACAGCUCAUCAUUAUCUUCAUCAUCAUCUUCACCCUCCGUGAUCAAGUGGAAACUAAUCCCCCCCUUUUUUAAAAAAAAUUGUUACGUGGAGAGAACCGCCUCUGAACCAGGCCGCAGCCUCUGCAGCCGGACAGCUGCUGUACAUCUGGACAGUGCAAACACACACACACACACACACACACACACACACACACACACACACACUGAUGGUUUCCACUGACAGAGACACAAUCCCUGUUUUCCACACGAUCACAUGAUAGAGUUAUAAAACUGCAGCAUCAAACGAGACGCAGACAAACACAAAACAAACUGCUGCAGAGGCGCCAAAAAUCCAACAAAACACCUUCAACGCGGUUGAUUGUUGAUUGUUGACUCUGCAGAUUUUACUGAAUCACAAACAAACAACAACCGGAGCAAAUAUUUGCGCAAAAUUAUAAAAGAUUUUGGUAGAGAAAGAGGCAAAAAACCAGCUCGAAGAGGAGACAGCGCGCCAAUAUCCACCUACAGACAGUCCUCCAUGUUUUACAGGAUACAACGGGAAUAAAAUAACAACAUAAAAAUACAUAAAAAUAGAAUAAAAUCUGCUUAUUAAGGAGAAGCUGGAUAUAUUUAGCUGAUUCUGUUUUUUAUUUUAAGAAAAUCACGUCUGCAGCACAGGGCCUGCGUGCCCAUCAUCAUUACCACCAUCAUCAUCAUCAUCAUCAUCAUCAAAGUAAAGCCUGUCUGGCCUGCAGCCGAAACCCCUCCUGAUUAUAUAACAACAGUCUCUCACAGGCCUCAAACCUGCAUUGUUUUCACUCAUUUAUAUUUGUUUUUAAAGCGCAAAUAUUCAGAUCUGACGGCGGAUUAAACAGACCCAGCAACUGGUUGAGAAUAUCUCACACAGCGCGGGAGGAGGAGGAGGAGGAGGAGGAGGGGGAGGAGGAGAGAGAGAAAAGAAGAAGAUGCUUUAGACUGGAUAAUUGCCAUUUCUUAUAAAGACUGAUCUUCCUCAUUCCCUGUAAUAUAAACAUCAGGCCUACAGUGACAGUCCAGCCACAACAGCGCUGCAGCAGCGGAGUUAAUCGCCGGCAUAUUAGAAACACGGUUGCCCUUACCUUUGU